GGUUCUGUAGCUCAGUUGGUAGAGCAGUGGACUGAACAUCCACGUGUCGGCGGUUCAAUUCCGCCCGGGACCA
rnacentral:tRNA from 1 species